rnacentral:lncRNA from 1 species
ACGCUUCGUGGGAUUUGUGAAGAAGAUGAAUGAAGUGAAGAGUCCUGCCCGGUGUUUGGAGCAGGUUGAGAGGGAAGCGGGGCAUUUUGUGCAUGUAAGUCGACCUUUAGUACAGGAGGCGGCUGUGGCUCAUAUGCACUAGGAUUCGGAGGGCUACUUGUAACAAAUCACAGGAACAGCAGCCCUAGUCCCUGCUCUAGCCAUGGCUGCUUUUCAUAUGCUAUGGCUAUAGAGGUGCUCCCAGCACCAAAGCACUAGGGAAUUUGCUAAUGUAAUGUGCAAUAUUGGACAUGCAUCAUGUCCAAUACCAACUUGCACUUCUUCUCAUCAAAACAAUGACAUUAUAUAUAUGUAUCGCAAUCAUUUCCUUUUUUGAUUUAUUUUUACGCCUUAAUUUUAGUUUGUGAUUAAAUUAAACAUUUCAUAAGUUGAUUUAUAUUAAAUAUAUAUGCUGUUCUUGUAACUGUGAAGCCGAAUGGUUCUUGGGGCUCUGCUAAUGAUUUGACCGUUUCUUAUUCAUAAAUCCCACCUCUCAGCUAGAAUUUGAACAUGAGAUAUGUCAUAAGGACGUCUCAAGUAAGUAAACAUGCAUGCCAAGCACCCAUCCAAAGCGUGAAGAUGCGUACUUCUCUCCUCAUAGAUUACCACAUGGAUCUAUUGAUCAGGCAAAUUAGCGGAGUUCCUCAAAUUCUACUUCAAAAGCAGGAAAACCCGAACUAAAAGAAUUCCCAGCUCCUCUUCCUAGCUCCUCUGUCACUCUUUCUGUGCACACACGAGCCUAGAACGUAUACAAGAGCAGUGAUACAUUUCAAAUCCAUAUUAGAAAAGCUCGAUGAGGUCCUGAAACGUCUUUCUUAAUUUUAGCAGCCCAUUAAACUUAUGGUGAGGUUUGAGUGUUAUCUUUUGAUCCGAUAGUUUUAAAGAGGGAUAAUAUAUCCCUUAUAUAUUAUUAAAAAAGAAUAAAUAUAUCUUAAAAACUAGAGAUAAAACUAGAGACUUAAAAACAACAUAAAUGAAAUUGUAUACCAAAAUUGAAUUUAGAAAAACAUAAGGGGCUAAAAAUGUCUAAUUUUAUUAAUUAAAGGAUUAAAAUAUAUUUUUUAGGCCAUCUUUAAAGACACCACCUAUUUUCUAUUCUCUUUUUUUUUAUAUAUGUUUUUCCCCUAUCUUUCGAUUUUAUUUCUAACCAAUAGAAUUGAUGUAAUUGGGUGCUAAUCUUGCAACUAAUACACCGCUGAACUGUGUUUGAAACUAUUGAAAACACCCUUGCUUUAGUCAUGGCUACAGCUGGUUCACUUACGUACGAACAUAAUCUUGUUUGCAAAAUUUGGAGGGUAAGGUAGAACAGUUGACUGCCAGCAUCCAGGAUACCACAAAUACAACUAGAGACAGGACAGCAGUUGGUGAUCAGUCAACCUGGGAUUCUGCCCAGCUAUAAUUCACACAAGUCAGUAUAUUGCUUGCUCUCUUGCACACGACACCUGUUCACGUUUCUUAGAACCAGCGACUGGUUCCCUUCUUUCAAAAGUUUGUUUUUCUGGAGUAAUUAAUCAGACAUGUUUAGUACAAUUUGAUCUUUAUUCUUGUUGUUUCCUUAGCUUAUUGAAAGGAAACAGUUUGUUCUUUUUCUUUUUUUCUCAUUGAUUUGUUGGCCACUAUGCAUGUGGCCAUGUUGGGGACGGGACUGAUAAAAGAUGUUCUGGAGUCUCAAGAACUUGCAAAAACGUAAGUCCGUGGUUAUUGACUCCAUAACAGUUAUGAAUAGAGGCAAAUUCAUGUAGAUGACCCUAGUAGAUUGGAAUUGAGGCUUGGUUGAGUUGUUAUUGAUCUUCUGGCAACUAUUGCAUGAAGAUUUAUUAUAAAUGUUUUUGCUUAAACUACUGAAAAUCAUAGGAAAACCCAAGGAGAAGAAUGUUUGGCUUCUGAGUGAAGCUGGCUUCUGUAAAUUUUUUCUACCAGCUUGUGAGCUUCUGUUUUACAGUGUAUGGAUCUCAUGACAAGUUCUGUAGAUUUAAAAUUUCAAAUGCUUUGGGGUAAGUUUUACGAUACCACCUGCAGUUCUAAGAAAUUGCAUGGAUCUCCUCUCUGGAUCCAAAACGAUCACAAGAACUAAAAUGUGCAACUGACUUAAACGACCCUUUGAUGCAUCUUAUGGCUUGGUUUAUUUGUCCAGAUAAUUGUCCAUAAGGUUGUCGCAUGUCAUGUCUGACAUAGAUGAGAGGUAUUUCAAUUUUCUUAACUAAAAGAAAGCUCUAUGAAUUGUACUUCGUUUUCUUCUAGUACUUCUCGCAGUUUUUUCUUAUCUUUUUUCUAUUAUUUUCAAUCACUAUUCUUUCUGAGCUUUUCUUGACUUUAUAUCUAUAGGUUUAGUUAACGAGGCUCUUUAUUUGUCUUGUUCAGUUCUUUCUAUUUAUGUCUCAUUUGUUUUUACUUUGACGUUCAUAAAAGAAAAACUCUUUUGUUCUUCAGGUAGGCUAAUGAUCAUCUCAUUGAUUUGAAAUGGCCAUUGCAUAUACAUAUUUAAUUUUUUCACCCAUUGCAUAUCUGAUAGAAGUUCCAUGCCUUGCUUUUAUAUUUCCUGCAUUUAAGCCACGCAAAAAUGAUGCAUUGCUGGCUGUGUCAUCCAUAGCCAUUGCGUCUUGUACGUACGCCUGAGAAGUAAUAUCCGUGUGCUCAUGAUGCUUGAGAAAGCGUGAAACUUGUGUAUGUGUCCAAUAUUGAUACAUGAUGUAUGUGUAAGUAGUGUAAUUAUAAAGACAUGUCUUUACAUGAUUUCUUGUUUUGUGUUAAAAUAAGUUAUAUUGAUUAUGCUUUUGAGUUUAUCUGGAAUAAGUAGUGGAAGACCUAUUCUAUAGGAAAUUAUCUAUUCUAUAGGAGUUCCAUCCACGUCUUAGAUAGUGGAGAUUUUAUUCAAUACAUUGAGUGUAUUAGUCUUCUAUUUAUUUCUAUUUACGUAACAGUGGUAUCAGAGCCACAAAUAAAAGAGAAAGUGUGAGUCUCAAAAAAAAAAAAACAAUGUCCACAUAAUAGUCAACAAUAGCAGCAACUUUCUUUUAUUAACUGUUUUCUAUUUUGCAGAAAUAGAAAUACGAUGGCAGAGACAAAUUUUAUGCAGGCAGCAAUCCCUCGUUUCGAUGGUCACUAUGAUCAUUGGAGCAUACUAAUGGAGAAUUUCUUACGAUCAAAAGAGUACUGGCAGGUGGUCGAUUCUGGGAUAGCAGAACCAGAAACUGAGAUCAUUUUAAUAGAAGCUCAACUGACUGAGCUGAGUAGCUUGAAAUUAAAAGAUUUGAAGGCAAAGAAUUAUUUAUUUCAGGUCAUUGAUCGUUUUAUCUUGGAAACAAUUCUUAGCAAAGAUACUUCCAAGCAAAUAUGGGAUUCUAUGAAGAAGAAAUAUCAAGGCUCUUCAAGAGUAAAACGUUCACAACUCCAGGCCCUCAGGAGAGAUUUUGAGACUUACAAAUGAAGGAUGGAGAAUCAGUCACUGAAUAUUGUGCAAAGACCAUGGGGAUAUCAAACAAAAUGCGGUUUCAUGGUGAAAAAAUGAAUGAUACGGUAAUUGUUGAAAAGAUUUUACGUUCCUUAUCAUCAAAGUUUGAUUAUGCUUGCUCAAUCGAAGAAUCUAAAGAUAUAGAAGCUCUUUCUCUUGAUGAACUUCAAAGCUCAUUAUUAGUACAUGAGCAGAAGAUGAAACGAAGCACAAUCACAGAGGAGCAUGCUUUGAAAGCUUCUACAUUUACUGAAUCCUCACACAUAAGAGGAAGAGGUAGAGGCAGAAGUGGGCAGAGGAUCGUGACAACAAAGAUGGAGGCAGAGGAAGAGGACGUGAACAAUCAUUUAACAGAACUAAUGUAGAGUGCUACAGGUGUCACAGAUUGGUCAUUAUCAAUCUGAUGCUAUACCAGAUUGCCUCAUACAAAGAAAAGUGGCAGAAAUCAAAUUUUGCAGAGAACAAGGAAGAAGAAACUCUGCUGAUGGCAUUCCAUACGAAGGAUAAUAUCAGUGCCAGAUGUUUGGUACUUAGACACCGGCUGCAGUAAUCACAUGUGUGGUAGUAAGUCUUUCUUCUCUCAUCUAAAUGAAGAAUUUCAUACUACUGUGAGUUUUGGUGAUCAUUCUAAAGUUAAUGUUAUGGGCAAGGGUGAUAUUCAAAUCAGAACAAAAAAAAUACAAUUGAGACUAUCUCAAAUGUUUUUUAUAUUCCUGAUUUGAAAAGCAAUUUACUUAGCUUGGGACAGCUACAAGAAAAGGGAUACGUGACUACAAUAAAGAAUGGUGCUUGUAAAAUUUAUGAUCCUACAAGGGGUCUGGUUGCUCAUGCUAAAAUGACACCAAACAGAUUGUUUCCGCUGCAAAUUUAGACCCGUCAGCAUUGUCUUGUGGCUAGGGAAAUUGAUUCAACAUGGUUAUGGCACUAUCGCUAUGGUCAUAUGAAUUUCAAUGGUUUAAAGACACUAUAUCAUAAGAACAUGGUGAUUGGUCUUCCCAAUGUUACUCAUUUAACAAGUGUGUGAACAUUGUGUUGUUGGCAAACAACAUCGUAAAGAAUUUCCACAAAGAUCAACAUGGAGAGCAAAGAAAGUCUUGGAGCUGGUACAUUCUGAUCUGUGUGGACCAAUAAAUCCAUCAUCAAAUGGAGGUAAACGAUACUUCAUCACCUUCAUCGAUGACUGCAGCAAAAACAUGGGUUUAUUUUUUGCAGGAUAAGUCUGAAGCUUUUUCUGCAUUUAAAAGCUUCAAGACAAUGUUGAGAAUGAAGUAAGAGAACCAUUAAAACUCUUCGAACAGACCGAGGUGGCGAGUUUUGUUCAAAAGAGUUUCAAGUUUUUUGUGAUGAACAUGGAAUUCAAAGACAUUGACUGCAGCAUACACACCACAACAGAAUGGUAUAUCGGAGAGGAAAAAUCGAACCAUUUGAAUAUGGUGAGAUGCUUGUUGACACAUAUGAGUGUUCCAAAAGAUUCUGGCCUGAAGCUGUGCAAUGGAGCAUUCAUGUUUUGAAUCGCAGUCCUACAUUUGUUGUUCAAAACAUGACCCUGAGAAGCAUGGAGUGGACGAAAGCCAUCAGUUGAUCAUUUCAAAGUGUUUGGUGCAUUGCAUAUGCACAUGUUCCAAUGAGAAGAGAAAGAAGCUAGAUGACAAAGGUGUAAAAUGUAUAUUCCUUGGAAUCAGUGAGCAUUCAAAAGCCUACAAAUUGCUCAAUCCUAUUACAAAAAAAAUUAUAACAAGUCGAUAUGUUGUGUUUAAGGAGGAUAGCACUUGGAAUUGGUCAACAAAAGUGCAAACCAGCAACAACUACCAGUAUUAUUUGAUGAGAAUGAGGCAGACGUAAGUGAUCCAUCAGACCAACAACUACAACACCAGCAACAUCGACAAAGCCUGCAAUCAGAUCAGGAAGUACCACAACUAUGUCUUAAUGAAGAUCAACCAGCUCCAGAGUGUUCACGAUCUCAACGAAGCAGAAAAAGGCCAGCUUGGAUGGAAGAUUAUGAGGUGAGUGGUGUUGUUCAAACUGGUGAACAAUCUGAUGAUUUUUCCCAUUAUGCAUUUUUAUCAGAUUGUGAUCCUAUCACAUUUGACGAAGCUGCUAAAGAGUCAAAAUGGCAAAAAGCCAUGGACGAGGAGAUCAUGUCAAUUGAAAGAAACAAUAGCUGGGCACUGACCACACUUCCUGAAGGUCAAAAAUCCAUUGGUGUUAAAUGGAUAUACAAAACCAAGCUGAAGGAAGAUGGCAGAGUAGACAAGUACAAAGCACGACUUGUUGCAAAGGGGUACAAGCAAGAAUUUGGUAUUGAUUACAAAGAGGUAUUUGCACCAGUUGCAAGAAUGGACACUAUUCGGUUGGUAUUAUCACUUGUUGUUCAGAAUUCAUGGCUUAUCUAUCAACUUGACGUAAAGUCUGCGUUCUUGCAUGGAACAUUGGAAGAGGAGGUGUACAUUGAUCAACCUUCUGGAUCAACCUCCUGGAUAUGUGAAACAAGGUCAUGUGAAUUAGGUAUACAAAUUAAAGAAAGCAUUAUAUGGACUGAAACAAGUACCAAGAGCUUGGUACAGCUGUAUAGAUGCUUACUUUAAUAAGGAAGGUUUUCUUAAAUGCCCUUAUGAGCACACUCUAUAUGUUAAAUCUGGAGUUGAUAAGAAAGUGUUAGUUGUGUGAUUAUAUGUUGAUGAUCUCAUUUAUAUGGGCAAUGAUAGAUCCAUGUUUACUUAGUUUAAGAAUUCUAUGAUGAAGGAAUUUGAUAUGAUAGAUUUGGGGUUGAUGCAUUAUUUUUUAGGCAUUGAAGUAGUGCAAUCAUCUGAUGGUAUAUUUAUCUCAUAGAAAAAAUAUGCUAUGGAGAUUUUAGACAGGUUCAAAAUGACGAAUUGUAAUUCGGUUUCCACCCCAACUGAUCUCAGUUUGAAACUCGUCAAAGAUGGUGCAAGAGAGAAAGUGAAUGCUACUCUUUAUAAGUAAAUAGUUGGGAGUCUUAUGUAUUUAACAUCAACCAGGCCAGAUAUCAUGUAUGCUGCCAGCUUAAUCAGCAUAUAUAUGAAGUGUCCAGCUAAAGCUCACCUUUUGGCUGCAAAAAGAAUUUUUCGCUACUUGAAAGGCACUGCAGACUAUGGAAUCUUGUAUAAAAGGGAUAGCAAUUCAACCAUGAUUGGUUUUUCAUAUAGUGAUUAUACAGGAUCUCUUGAUGAUAGAAAGAGUACUUCCGGAUUGGUGUUCAUGUUAAAUUCUGGAGCUGUUUCAUGGUCAUCGAAAAAACAACAAAUAGUAGCUUUAUCAACCACUAAAGCUGAAUUUGUUGCUAUAGCAUCAACUUCAAGUCAAGCAAUUUGGUUACGCAGGCUACUUGAGCUCUUACAAAACAACCAGCAACAAGGUCCAACCUUAAUCUACUGUGAUAACAUGUCCACCAUAAAGCUUUCAAAGAAUCCAGUACUUCAUGGGAGAAGCAAACACAUUGAUGUCAGGUUUUAUUUCUUACGUGAUCUAUGUAAGGAAGGUGUUAUUGAUCUGGUGUUCUGUAAGAGUGAAGAUCAUAUUACAGAUAUAUUAACUAAGCCUCUUAAGCCUGCAAUUUUUGUCAAGCUUCGAAAUCUACUUGGACUGUGCUCUUCAAAAGAUGUCAUCAGAGAACGAGUAGCAACUGUUAAUUUCUAAACCAAUAUCUACAUAUAUUAGUUUAAGGGAAGGUGUUAAAAUAAGUUAUAUUGAUUAUGCUUUUGAGUUUAUCUGGAAUAAGUAGUGGAAGACCUAUUCUAUAGGAAAUAUCUAUUCUAUAGGAGUUCUAUCCACGUCUUAGAUAGUGGAGAUUUUAUUGUUAUUCUAUUGAUAUUUCCUUGCUACUAUACAACCUAUUUAAAGGCUUACUAUUGAUUUAUUCAAUACACUGAGUGCAUUAGUCUUCUAUUUAUUCCUAUUUACAUAACAUUUUGGACACUAAAAAACUGUGGUUAAUGUCUGAGAUGACCAUGCUUGCGUUUGCAGAGAGUAAAAGAUAGCUGGAGGGUUGUGAACAAUAGAGACAUUAUACCACCUGCUCCUCGCUUGAUAGGUUAUUGCCAUGUAGCUCAACCUGUGUAUCUAGCAGCUAGAGUCCUAGAAAAUGCUUCAGUGGGUCAUUUUUUUUGUAACUUUCCCCUUAAAAGCAUUUAGAAGUUACUGCAUACUGUAAACUUAACAUCUGGAUAUGCAUUUUAUAUAUGCUACAGUGAACUUCAUCUUCUACAAUAAAUAGACAUUAUCUUUAAAUUCAAGGUUUGCUAUUGGAUUGCAAUUCCCGUCACUGGACCUACUUAUUUCUCACCACUAAAUUUACCAUAGAUAGACUAUUUUGACUUUUUAAGUAACUUAACUUCCCUUGUGUGCCUGAUACUUUCUGCAGCUUUACUAUUGUUGUCUCCUGAAAGGCAUUCAUUUGAAAAUUAUGCAUGAUUGCUUCACGCAUGCAAGGGAAGUUGAGUUACUCCAUUCCUUUGAAAACUACAGUCAUAUGAAAGUUGAGUUGCGUAUUUAUUUUUCUUUAUUAUUACGAUCGAUCUCAAAAUGACCUUAUGCAUCUGUACUAUCAGGUCAGACUUUCAUAAGUUAGCUCAAGUGGGAUAAGUUAAUUUGCAUCUUUGUUGACUUUGAUUAAAUUUGUGGUUUGACUUGUCCUUCAACUCCUAUUGUAUUCCCCUUUGUAAGUUAUUCGUCACAAUUGGUAAAAAAAAAAAAAAAAAGGUCAGGACUACUCUCUACCUAAACAUCUAGAGUUCUUAAUUAUUUUUUUUAUGAUAAUUAUGAAUAGAAAUCUUCAACAAAUUAACUUGAGAACCUCGAUGAUUUAAGUAAAUCAUGCAGGAAAUGACAUUUAUAUUUUUGGUUAAAAGUAUUACCGGCUGUCCAAUUUUACAGUAUUGAGCAUAUCUCUUGAUUUGACCAUUAGAUCGGACUAAAAUGUUACAAGUAAUCCACAGAUAUAUGUUUUUACCAUGAGUUAAAUUUUCAAGUUAAUUGGAGUUUAGAAAGGCCUCAUAAAAAUACCAACAUACUUGAAUUGGAUAGAAAAGGGCAUAUAUAUAAUUAUGAGAGGUAAAAUGGCCAUUCGGGCUCAUUGGAGUAAAAAAAAAUCUUUUUUAAAAGGAUGUUAUAGCUGAAAACCCAAAAGCCAUGAAAAUGGCUUGUAAAGCCUUCAUCUUUUCCUAUGACUUUGAGAGAAUCAACUAUGAUUGAUUGUUUUAGGCGAAAAUAAGUUUGUCUUUGAGAGAAAACACAUCAAGCAUAGAUAACUUGAAAGUCGUAUCUCCACUUUACACCUUUGGAUUGGGUUUUCCUUUGGAUAUGUUGUUCUUUACUAUGUUCAAUGCAUUCUAACCGUAGGGAUGUGCAAUAUCAGGCUUUGUGUGAGAGAUAUGAUCGAUGGAACAUUUCUAGAGAAAACAUCUUUUCUGCACAAACAUAUGCUAGACCCAGCUCUUAGGUCUGGCAGGUGUUGUCAUGCUCAAUUGCUUGGCCUGGUGUGCUACCAAACAAAUGAGGUGGGUUUGACUUGUGUUUCUUGGAAGCGUCAAACCUAAGGAUUUUUGUCAUUAUAGUCGAAGCAUUUGCUACACCCAUAGAUUCAAACAUAAUACCUGAAUUUAACAUCGUCAAUUCUAUAUAUUUUUAUAUAAAAUCUUAAAGGAUUUAUUUGUUAAGAAAUAUGCUUAAUUAAACAAGCCUAUACUCCGCCAACAUUAUUAUGUGUAUUAAAGUUUUUCAUGACUUGUAUUGUCUCCAUAUUUUAGCUUAAUAAAAUGAGUGGAAUACAAACCAUAACACAACUUAAAAUAUCACAAAGGUAAAAUUACAUUUCAGUUCCUCCUUUCAAUAAAAAAAACAAGACUCGUGAGCUAUAAAUACACCAUGAGACCUCCAUAACAAAAUGUUCAUAAUCUUCAUUCUCUACUGCAUAUGUAUUUUUAGAUCAUCUCUCCAUAACAUUGGUGUACCAAGCAUCAAAUAUAAGCUAUCAACCAUCUUGACUAAAAAAAAAAAAUAAGAUUGUUAAAACCUAUUAAUUAACUGAUUAUCCAAUUCGAAAGCAUUGUACCUAGGCUCAAUUAAUUUUUGGGACAUCAUCACUAUUGAAAAAUAUUGGAUUGUAGAACGAUUCAAUCGUGCACAUUCGUCACUAUACAAUUCGACUAAACACGCCUUUAAAAUGUGGAAACAAAAAUGAAGAAUUUUUCAGAAAAUAUUUGUUUAUCUAUAUAAAUCACAAGUGCAUAUUAUAAUGAAACUAAAUAAUUAUAUUAUGAAAAAAUCACGAGAAGAUAUCACAUUUACAGGCUCUAGCUAUUAACUAGUUGUUAUGCCCGCGCGUUGCCACGGGCUUAUAGCAUGCUUGUGCAUUGUCAUGGAUUUGUUAAAAAAAAAUUUAAAAAAUUAUAUGGAGAAACACUAUUGUAAUACACAAUGUUUUCAAGAAAUAAUAAACUACAAAGCUAAAUUCUCAACCAGCUUAAUAUUUAAAAAAUAAAAUAAACAAAGAUAAUUUUAAAAAAAAUCAUAAAAAAAGAAAAGGAAAAAAAAUCAUGUAGGGAAACACUGCAACAAUCUAUCGUGUUUUGUGAGGAAAUAUACAAUUAUAAUUCUUAACCAACUCAAUAUAAAAAAAAAUUAAAAUCAAUAUAGAUAAUUUUGGAAAAAAUUAUAAAAAAAACGAAAGGAAAAAAAACCAUGCAGGAAAACACUAUAGCAAUCUAUAGUGUCUCAUGAGAAAAUCUAUAGUUGUAAUUUUCAACCAUCUCAAUAUUAAAAACAAUAAAAUCGAUAAAGAUAAUUUUUAAAAAAAUUAUAACAAAAAAAUCAUGUAGGGAAACACUUUCGCAAUCAACGGUGUUUUAAAGCAAAUAAAAAAAAAAUAACAAAGAAACAAACAUACGAGGAAAGCUAAAGAUAAAUUCUCAAAGCUCAAUAUUAAAAAAAAUUAAUUCAACAAAGAUAAUUUAAAAAAAAAACAUGUGGAGAAAUAUUGUAUCAAAACAAAAACCAUAUGAGGAGAAAUACUAUGGUAAUCUAUAAUAUUUUUUUAUAAAAAGAAAUACAAAGUUAAAUUCUUAAUCAGCUCAAUAUAGAAAAAAAAAUCUGAAAAAAACUAUUUAAAAAAAAAAAUCAUAAAAAGAAAAUGAAAAGAAAAGGCAUGAGAAAAGUUUAAAAGGCAUCCACAAUGUUUUUUUUUAAAUGACAGUUCAAUAUUAGAAAAAAAAAUCAUAAAAAAUAAUUUUAAAAAAAUAUAUAAUUUUUUUUUAAAAAAAGUCAAUCAUGAGAAAAGAACAAAAAUAAAACAUGUAAAAAAAAUAUAUUAGUAUAAUAAAAAUUAAUAUAGGAAAAAUCUAAAAGAUAUGGGAAAGCUAUAAUGCUUUCUCAUUCAGAAUCUGGCGUGUCUGCCAUUUUACCACCAAAACAUCUUGAAAUAUUAGUAUAAUGAAAAUAAAAAGAGAAAGUCUAAAAGGCAUAGGAAAAGCUAAAGCUACGAUAUUUUUUCACAUCUUUUAGAAUAUUGUUAAUAUAUAUCUUCUUUUAACGUCACCCAUGUUUUUCUUAUCAUUUUAAUGGACUUUAAGCCCGGAUCUAAUAAAUCUUGCAAACCCAAUCUUUAAAAAAAAAUACAAAAAACAAAAAUAGGCUUGUUACUGCACCCUCUCUUUUAUUUUUCAGUUCCACAACGUCCUGUUUUUUUUUUCUUUUUUCGUCAUCACGUUGUUCCUGGUAGCAUCAGCAUCCUUUCUCUCCUUUAUCUUUCUUCGAAGAAUUUUCAAGAACAUCCUUCCUAUGAAAACCUCUGUAAACUUACAUUGUAUCUCCUGUUAAUAGUUGGGAUCAUAGCCUGUAUUUCACCAUCCAUCACAUUCUUUCUCUGUCCCUUUUUCUUUCUUUUCCUAUUGCAGACUGUAGUUCAACCCAGAUUGAUACUUCACUUCCAUGGCGAAAAGAGAGAUAAAAAAAAGAGAGGCAAAAGAGAUAAGGUUGUGUCAGAGUAGAGAAAGGAAGAGAAGUCAGAACUCUCAUGCACCAAACUACCAACUGUUGUGAUCCUUUCUUGUUGUGAUUGUGAAAGGGGGCUGUAUUGUGCGGGGAGAGGGAAUCAGAGGAGGAAAUAUAUGUGGGAUUAUUGGAUUUUCUCUGCCUCUUUCUUCUUUUCGGUCCUUGUGAUGUUGAUGGACAUGCAGAAUCAAAUAAGAUUUGAGAGAAAUUAACAAAGGGAAGCACAGGGGAGCUGUCUGCGUGUCUGUAUGGGACUUAUGUGACUUAUUUGGAGUCACAAAGUCCCCGAUCCAAUCCCACCACCGACGAAACAAAUCAAAACCCAACUCUGCUAACAGAGGAUGGAGAGUGUGGUGGCGGCUCACAAGCUGGAGCUAUACCUUGAGGCAUGGUGAUGGUGGCUUUCCUAAAUUUGGAGAAAUCUCCAUUCUCACAUCAGCAGUUCUUGAAUGUCUUUUAAGGAUUACUACAUGUAAAACACACUCCCAGCAACAGAUUACUUAAAAAAUGGAUCUCAAUUCACUGGUCUGCAUCGAAGAUUCCAAUGAAAAGAUGCUAAAAACUUGGAUUGAAAGAUACAUCCUUUACUUUACCUUCAAUGGAGCCCCGCACUCCAGUUUGAUGGGGAUUUGCAUAUUCAUCUUUGUAUAUCUACCCAGUUAGCGUUUGUGCUUUUACUAUUCUUACGCUCAUAUUACACCUUAAAGUACUAUCCAUAGGACAAUUAGGGCAAAGAUUGCAUACACGCAUAGUUUUCCUAACUUCGUAAAUUUUAAGUAUUUGUCGUGACAGCCGUUUAGAAUUGCGUUAUUUUUUAAAAAAAUGGAUUUUUUUGAAAAUGAUUUGAAGUCCAAUCUUAGAAUUUGAGGCCUUCUGGGCGCCCUAUGCUUGUGCUUAUGACCUUAUUAACCCCCUUCUCUUUAAUGGAGGUCCCCUGAAGCAGCUCCCUCUUUUAUCAAACAAUCAAGGCAGCUGAAACAAGUGACGAAGGCCAAAUUCUGGAAUGCUCCUGGUCCGAACACGUACCUUAACAGCCAAGGUUUAUAUCUGGACACUACUCGCCGACACCCUCCUUCCACAUGCCAUGUGUCACCCACAAAAUAUCCUUUCGUCGACGUCGAAGCAGCCGUAGAAAACAAAAGGACAAAAAAACAAGAUUAAAGAGUUGUUUAAUAUUGUGAUAUUGAUUAUUUUUUAAUAUUUUUUAUUUAAAGAUAGCCCUAUGCUUGUGCUUAUGACCUUAUUAACCCCUUCUCUUUAAUGGAGGUCCCAUGAAGCAGCUCCCUCUUUUAUCAAACAAUCAAGGCAGCUGAAACAAGUGACGAAGGCCACAUUCUGGAAUGCUCCUGGUCCGAACACGUACCUUAACAGGCAAGGUUUAUAUCUGGACACUGCUCGCCGACACCCUCCUUCCACAUGCCACGUGUCACCCACAAAAUAUCCUUUCGUCGACGUCGAAGCAGCCGUAGAAAACAAAAGGACAAAAAAACAAGAUUAAAGAGUUGUUUAAUAUUGUGAUAUUGAUUAUUUUUAAAUAUUUUUUAUUUGAAGAUAUGUUAAAAUAAUAUUUUUUAAUUUUUUAAAAUUUAUUUUUAACAUUAUCUCAUUAAAAUAAUUUUAAAAUUUUAAAAAUGAUAAUUAAUUUACAAUUAAAAAACUAUUUAAAAAAAAACAAAAACAACCAUGCUGCUGCUAUAUGAUACUUAAACCGCCAUGUAUAUGGGGAGGGGCACGUGACUAGUCGCCAGCAACGACAUCCAUCCGGAUCUAUCAGUGGCAUGCCGAGCAUUCGCAACAGAAACAAUGGACUUGGUGAGUUUUGACGAGACAACAGAACAAGAGAAGACGUAUAAAGAGGUGAACACGGUGAAGGAGAAAGGAGUGCCAGUUUACGUGAUGAUGCCGUUGGAUAGUGUGACGACGGGUAACACAGUGAAUGGAAGGAAAGAGAUGAAUGCAAGUUUACAGGCGUUGAAGAGCGCAGGCGUGGAAGGGGUGAUGAUGGAUGUCUGGUGGGGAUUAGUGGAGAGAGAUACGCCUGGUGUGUAUAAUUGGGGAGGGUAUACCGAACUCUUAGAAAUGGCUAAACGACAUGGUCUUAAGGUUCAGGCUGUGAUGUCGUUUCAUCAGUGUGGCGGCAACGUUGGUGAUUCUUGCACGUAUGUUUUUUUUUUUUUUCGUUCUUAUUUUCCCUUUUUUGUUACUUGGUAUGGGUUGGGUGAAACAGUCAAAGUUGAAAGUAAUUUGUGAUGGAAAUGUGAAUUGUAUUAAAAUAUUGGAUGCAGGGUUCCAUUGCCCAAGUGGGUUGCGGAGGAGGUUCAUAAAGAUCAAGAUCUUGCAUACACUGAUCAGUGGGGGAGGAGGAAUUAUGAGUAUGUAUCACUUGGGUGCGAUAGCAUUCCAGUUCUCAAGGGGAGGACACCUGUGCAAUGUUACUCUGAUUUUAUGCGGGCCUUUAGGGACAACUUCAAACACCUUCUUGGUGACACCAUUGUGGUAAUUACUUGCUUAUCCAUUGCUAUUUGUUUUUUUUUUCCUUUGAAUUAGAUAGAAUUCAUAUGUGUUAAAAAUAUUUUGGUUGAAUAUGUGUAGAUGAUUCUGUCCCAUUACAACUUUCAACUUUUGAGUGUAAUCUGUCUAUAGAUACUUUGUAAUUGGGCUGCAUCUUUGCAUAAUUAUGGAUGCAGUUUGUAUUGUCAUUACCCUGUAUAUUACGACCCUUUUUAUACUCCAAUAAUUGGUUCUAGCGGUUUGAUGUCUUUGCUUGAAUAAUUUGUCAUCGUUGGUGAUGAAUUGGUACAUUUUUUUAACAAAUCAGAGCAUGCUGUCAUACGUAUUGAAAGAGGUUUGUUGAUUAAACCAUUGAGAAUUUGUUCUUUUCAGGAAAUCCAAGUGGGAAUGGGUCCAGCAGGUGAGCUCCGCUAUCCUUCGUACCCGGAGCAGAAUGGAACUUGGAGAUUUCCUGGAAUCGGAGCCUUCCAAUGUUACGAUAAGGUAUUCACUUUCUUUUUUACUUUUAAGCGAUUAAACCACCGACUUGUAAUCUUCUGGUUCUUACUUGGUAAACGUAACAUGAUGCAGUAUAUGUUGAGUAGCUUGAAAGCAGCGGCGGAAGCUGCUGGUAAGCCAAAAUGGGGUAGCACAGGCCCUACUGAUGCUGGUGAGUACAACAACUGGCCGGAAGACACCCGGUUUUUCAGAAAAGAAGGUGGUGGCUGGACGAGUCCCUACGGUGAAUUCUUCCUCUCUUGGUACUUCGCAUGCUCUUAGACCACGCUGAGAGAAUAUUGUCGUCAGCGAAGGCUAUCUUUGAGAAUACUGGCGUAAAGAUCUCAGUGAAGAUUGCAGGAAUUCAUUGGCACUAUGGAACCCGGUCUCAUGCCCCAGAGCUCACAGCAGGAUAUUAUAACACGAGAAACAGAGAUGGUUACCUUCCUAUUGCUCAAAUGUUAGCUCGGUAUGGUGCUAUAUUCAAUUUCACUUGCAUAGAAAUGCGUGACCAUGAACAGCCACAGGAUGCCCUUUGUGCCCCCGAGAAGCUCGUGAGACAAGUGGCUUUAGCAACGCGGGAAGCAGAGGUUCCUCUUGCCGGGGAAAAUGCACUGCCACGAUAUGAUGAGAACGCACAUGAGCAAAUUUUGCAGGCGUCAUCAUUGAAUAUUGAUGGAAACUCAAAAGACAGGGUGAUGUGUGCUUUUACGUACUUGAGAAUGAACCCUCACUUGUUUCAACCAGAUAACUGGAGACGCUUCGUGGGAUUUGUGAAGAAGAUGAAUGAAGUGAAGAGUCCUGGCCGGUGUUAGGAGCAGGUUGAGAGGGAAGCGGGGCAUUUUGUGCAUGUAAGUCGACCUUUAGUACAGGAGGCGGCUGUGGCUCAUAUGCACUAGGAUUCGGAGGGCUACUUGUAACAAAUCACAGGAACAGCAGCCCAAGUCCCUGCUCUAGCCAUGUCUGCUUUUCAUAUGCUAUGGCUAUAGAGAUGCUCUCAGCACCAAAGCACUGGGGAAUUUGCUAAUGUAAUGUGAAAAAUUGGACUCGCGUUAUAGGAACUCUCAGGAUACGCAUCAUGUCCAAGAUGUAUUAUUAAUGUUUUUACUUAAACUACUGAAAAUCAUAGGAAAACCCAAGGAGAAGAAUGUUUGGAUUCUGAGUGC